AUGCUAAAGUGAUGAUGUGGCAAC
rnacentral:siRNA from 1 species